rnacentral:lncRNA from 1 species
GCUGGGUUGGGUAUUUAUUCAGACAUUUUUCAUCUAUUGGUUUAUUCAUAUAUUUUAUUUCAAUAUGGCUGUCUCGCUGGCUGACUGUCUGGCUGACUGGCUGACUGACUGGCUGACUGACUGGCUGACUGGCUGACUGACUGGCUGACUGGCUGACUGUCUGGCUGACUGUCUGACUGGCUGUCUGUCUGACUGGCUGACUGACUGGCUGACUGGAUGUCUGACUGGCUGACUGACUGACUGACUGACUGGCUGACUGGCUGACUGGCUGGCUGACUGACUGGCUGACUGGCUGGCUGACUGACUGGCUGACUGGCUGGCUGACUGGCUGACUGGCUAUCUGACUGCAAUACAGAGCAUUCAGUUGUGUCCCUCUCUCUCUAACUCUCUCUCUCUCUCUUUAUUUAUGUAUUUAUUUAUCUCUCUGUCUCUCUUUCUCUCUCUCUAUCUCUCUAUUUCUCUCUCACUCUCUCUCUCUCUCUGUGUCACUCUGCUGCACUUUAUAAAGAGAGGUACAGUUUGUAGGAGGGAAAACAUGAAAGUUAGAUUUUCUUGUUGAUGGAUAGAAGGAACAGAAGUUGUUCACACUAGCAGCCCACACACAGACACACAGACCGGCUCACACACACACACACACACACACACACACACACACACACACACACACACACACACACACACACACACACACUCACACUCAGACUCACAUAACUUGUUAUUCGCGAACAGCAGCAGUUGGUAGCACAGCGGUAUCUGCUAGGGAAAGGAGGGUUUGAGGUAGUUCUGGCACAAUUACCAUAUAACCGUGUAACUGACGGUUCUGGAUGAAGACUGACGUGAAAAAAAAAUAAACGUCAUAACUGUAAAAAUUUUUAUAAAAAAAUAACAAAAAAAUAAAUAAAUACAUCUGGGGAAGGAACUGCUGAUUGAAGAAGGGACGGCCGAACAUUCGUGCGGUUGCCUCGGCGAUAACGUUUUGUCACCUUUACAAGUGUGUUGCGUUACGGGGAUACACAUCUGCAAGUUCCUGUAGUUUUUAACUGCAGUGGACUGCAAGUUCCUGUAGUUUUUAACUGCAGUGGACUGCAAGUUCCUGUAGUUUUUAACUGCAGUGGACUGCAAGUUCCUGUAGUUUUUAACUGCAGUGGACUGCAAGUUCCUGUAGUUUUUAACUGAAGUGGACUGCAAGUUCCUAUAGUUUUUAACUGCAGUGGACUGCAAGUUCCUGUAGUUUUUAACUGCAGUGGACUGCAAGUUCCUGUAGUUUUUAACUGCAGUGGACUGCAAGUUCCUGUAGUUUUUAACUGCAGUGGACUGCAAGUUCCUGUAGUUUUUAACUGCAGUGGACUGCAAGUUCCUGUAGUUUUUAACUGCAGUGGACUGCAAGUUCCUGUAGUUUUUAACUGCAGUGGACUGCAAGUUCCUGUAGUUUUUAACUGCAGUGGACUGCAAGUUCCUGUAGUUUCUCUCCACCGCCUUCUUCCUGUAGCCAUCGGCUGCAUUGUGGGAGACUCGAUAGUCAAACAAUCAUUAGGGUGUUUUUGUUUGACCCACGUGAACGUGACCGUAUACGUGACUGAAACGGGAUCCAACUUUGCCGCGAUUCUUGUAUACAGUGGAUAUAUAGAGUGAGUAUACAGAACAUUAUGAACACCUGCUCUUUCCAUGACAUAGACUGACCAGGUGAAUCCAGGUGAAAGCUAUGAUUCCCUUGUUGAUGUCACCUUGUUAAAUCCACUUCAAUCAGUGUAGAUGAAGGGGAGGAGACGGGUUAAAGAAGGAUAUUUAAGCCUUGAGACAAUUGAGACAUGGAUUGUGUAUGUGUGCCAUUCAGAGGGUGAAUGGGCAAGACAAAAUAUUGAAGUGACUUUGAACGGGGUAUGGUAAGCAGGUGCCAGUCGCAACGGUUUGUCUCAAGGACUGCACCAAUUUUGGGGUUUUCAUGCUUAACAGUUUUCCAUGUAUAUCAAGAAUGGUCCACCACCCAAAGGACAUCCAGCCAACUGUGGAAAACAUUGGCAUCUUUCCUGGUUGAGGUUUUUAUUUUAUUUUAUUUUACUAGGCAAGUCAGUUAAGAACAAAUUCUUAUUUACAAUGACGGCCUAGAAACAGUGGGGGUUAACUGCCUUUUUCAGGGGCAGAACAGCAGAUUUCUACCUUAUCAGCUCAGGGAUCUUGCAACCUUUACGGUUACUAGUCCAACACUCUGACCACUAGGCUACCUGACGAGAGAUUACCUGCUUCUCUUCUAGUUUCCAUGAGAAAUAUUACUGUGAUGAAAAUUCCAGAUUUCUGCAUAAUCAGAUAGCAUUCAGCUCAGACACCGCAUACAUACCCCACAAGACAUGCCACCAGGGGUCUCUUCAGACACCCCAUACAUACCCCACAAGACAUGCCACCAGGGGUCUCUUCAGACACCCCAUACAGACCCUACAAGACAUGCCACCAGGGGUCUCUUCAGACACCCCAUACAGACCCUACAAGACAUGCCACCAGGGGUCUCUUCAGACACCCCAUACAGACCCUACAAGACAUGCCACCAGGGGUCUCUUCAGACACCCCAUACAGACCCUACAAGACAUGCCACCAGGGGUCUCUUCAGACACCCCAUACAGACCCCACAAGACAUGCCACCAGGGAUCUCUUCAGACACCCCAUACAUACC